CGACCAUCAAUCAGACUAGAGUGGUUUAUACGGCACUGUGUAAAUUUAACCAGCGCCGUGGAAAAAGCGGUUUAGGAGUUGGCAGUUCACUUUCUCUGAUGGCGGACCAGAACAACAACCGGUUCAAGCGAGGAACAAAGAGGAAACGACAAAUAGGAGACCUGAGAUGCACCAGUAGUCUGAACACUAAGUAUGUGACCAAUUAACCCGCAUGCCUUUGGACAGUGGGAGGAAGACGGAGAACUCGAAGAAAACUCAAGCAGGCAUGGUGGAAUGAUCCGGUGGCUGAAUGAGCUGCCCAUCUGCCACAGCUUGUCAUGGAGAGGAUGAGAAGGGUUAUCCAGGAUGGCUUUGAUUUUGUCCUUCCACUGCCUCCAGACUGUCCAGUUCCAGUCUGACCACAGAACUGGCCUUCCUUCCCAACUGUCACUUCAGUGCGAAGUUGCUGCGGUCCUCCUCCAUCCCCUUCACCUCCAGUUCAUCAUAUCCAGGCCCAGGUCGAGCUCAUCAGAAGUCCACUCCUCAUCACAUCCUGAUCUUCAGCGUUCUCUUCAUCCCACCACCACCUCUGUCUAGAAUGGGAUAGACUGGGAAAGAAUCCUUUGUCAUUUUGAUUGUGAUGAUUAUUAUUAAUAUUUUCUGAAUGUAUUUUUUAUUGAUUGAUUUAAAUUGAAGAUUUAAAUCAAGGUAAUUUCCUUAAUGUUUUCUAUGAUUUUGAUGAUAACCUCCCAAAGUGAAGUAACAUUUACCAUCACGGGGGUUGGGGGGGACCGGGGUUCUAUACCACUUAACGACUUCCUUUAAAUACCAUCAUGUCAUGAUGGGGUCUAAUCUGGGUUGAAUCGGCAAAGACUAUUACUCACAUUUUUUACAUUCAUUGUGCACAUGUCAAUAAAUUAUUCGUUAGUCUUUCCUGAUUGAUUAGGAGGGAUUUAUACUAAUCAAUCUGCAGAGACUGCUGAUGCUUUGACUAUGACAAGCUGACCAAACGAGUGACACAGGGGUACUUUGCUGUAUAUUUGCAUGGCCCUCAGACCAUUUACCACGUAAUAAUCAUUCCAGGUUAUUGCGUACUCAGAGCUAUAAUGUCAUCACGCGAUCUCAGUGCUGAACAUAUGGUGUUAUGAACUAUAGUGUUGCCAAGCCACUAAAGCUAUAAAAUCCCAUUUCAUUAAUUAAUGGUGAAACUUUGGCAUCAAUCACAUUAAAAGCAUGCUUUUCCCUUACCACAGAGCACAAGUCACAUGAAGAGCUGACUUCUGCAGUCAUUAUAAUUGUACGGUAGGUGCAUUUAUGAUCUGUUUAUACACAACCAAUGCAAAUUGCAGAACUCAAAUAUAAUUGUAGGCUUUGGCCUUCUUUAUACUAAUAGCCAUGUCUAGAUAAAAUGCACUUUUUAACCCCUGCACUUGAUGAGACUGCAAAGUGCUCUUAGAAUUAUGCUAUGUGAAGGGUUGUCAUGACCAUGUUAGUUUAAUUUGUUAAAAUGACUGAGAAUUGUUUGACAUUGAUCUGAAGAGAGGAUUCUGCAUAAUCUUUUUUGUCUUUGUUAUAGCUGAGCCCCUUUGUUUCCGCUUUCAUGGUUUAUAAUCGCUGCCAUCAGGUUGUUAUCUCUGCCUCUGUUGCUAGCGGUGAGCCAGAACUGAGAUGGAAUUUUCUUUGAGUUUAAAUGAAUUAUUUGCAGCUAUUUAUUUCUUAUCCCUGCAGGCUAUUAUUUCAUAAUGAAUUGCCAAGGACAGUCUAGGUGUAUAUUUGCUUGGCAAAUAAACAUUUGUAAGAGACACAAAAAAGAAACAAGAUGUUUUUCAAAGUGAAAAGAGCUUUUCAGCCUUCAGGCAGCCAAGCUAUGAACUGUUUUUACAAUGGAUAUUCAUCAUGUAAGGCAUUAUAUUGAGCUUUCCAAAAACAUUAUUAAUGUGUGAGUGACAUUUGUUGCUGUUUAAUUAUUAUUACUAGUGUACGACGCCAAAAUGCAUUUCUUUGAAAGGGGCAAAUAAGUUUCUAUUUUGAAAAGUUGGAGGCUUUUUUUCUGAACUUUAUAUCAUUCAAUUGCAAAUCUGUUUUCAUCAAGCCUUAUUUUGUUAAUCAAAAUCACUGUAAGAGGAAUCUUUUGUAUGCAAGAAUCCAGAUCUGAAUCUAGCUGAAUCAACAGGGACUGAGAGACAAAAUUAUCUAAAACAACUCUUUCUUUAUGCUCUGAUACCUGCUACAGGCACCAACAGUCACAAAAUGUAUAGAAACAUACACGAGUGCAGUGGCCUUGCCUCAAGUGAAGACUGGAUUAAAGGAUUUGUUUGCCUGCUGUACCUUUUAGGACACUUGAACCGUGAUGCAGCAUGCCACACAAUGAAAAUGCAUACACUUAUGUUAUGACCACCAGUUUGAAUUAUUUCUUUGAGAAAUAGUGUUUGUCCUUUUUUUGACUACUACUAAGUACUACAGUACACCCAUGAGCUUCAGACGCCUUUGCUAUGGAUACGAAGCCAGUGAGAGGCGCCAAUCAUAGAGGUAGCAAAUUCAAAAUACUUUGAACUAGUCAUUGACCAAAACAUACUGCCAUGAUUGGUGAAUCAAAAUUGACUCAGAGUCAACCAGUGAAAAAAAACAACAACCAGUGAAUUGAUUUAAACUGUAGCUUGUAAAAUCAGUUGUCUCAACAAGGUAACCUUUAGCUUCUGUACUGUAUGUAACAGAAUUUUAGGCUCUGUGAUUAGACGUUUCUCUCCAAAAUGCACUUAGAGAGUCAUAGUUCUUCUCCCCAGAUGUUUUUAUGUGCGAAGUAUUCUACCUUCGACAAAAAAACAGAUAUGUUCUAACACACUUCAGUUCAGAGUUUCAUUCCCAUCCAAGCCUUGAAAUGCUCCAGUUAUAGCUCUUCCCACCUGCAACUCUAUUAGGUAGUUUAGUCCAGUAGUUGCCAUCCUAGGGGCCAGGCCCCCUCCAAAGCGUAAAGAAAAUACUGAGGAGUCAUGUGAUGAUUAUAUGUAUAUGUUUUUUUCCACUUUGAUUUUGAUUUUGUUUUG